GACGAACGCUGGCGGCGUGCCUAAUACAUGCCAGUAGAACGCUGAAGGAGGAGCUUGCUCUUCUGGAUGAGUUGCGAACGGGUGAGUAACGCGUAGGUAACCUGCCUGGUAGCGGGGGAUAACUAUUGGAAACGAUAGCUAAUACCGCAUAAGAGUAGAUGUUGCAUGACAUUUGCUUAAAAGGUGCAAUUGCAUCACUACCAGAUGGACCUGCGUUGUAUUAGCUAGUUGGUGGGGUAACGGCUCACCAAGGCGACGAUACAUAGCCGACCUGAGAGGGUGGUCGGCCACACUGGGACUGAGACACGGCCCAGACUCCUACGGGAGGCAGCAGUAGGGAAUCUUCGGCAAUGGACGGAAGUCUGACCGAGCAACGCCGCGUGAGUGAAGAAGGUUUUCGGAUCGUAAAGCUCUGUUGUAAGAGAAGAACGAGUGUGAGAGUGGAAAGUUCACACUGUGACGGUAUCUUACCAGAAAGGGACGGCUAACUACGUG
rnacentral:rRNA from 1 species